rnacentral:rRNA from 1 species
GGGAGGACCAUCUCCCAAGGCUAAAUACUCCCUAGUGACCGAUAGUGAACCAGUACCGUGAGGGAAAGGUGAAAAGCACCCCGGAAGGGGAGUGAAACAGUUCCUGAAACCGUGUGCCUACAAGUAGUUAGAGCCCGUUAAUGGGUGAUAGCGUGCCUUUUGUAGAAUGAACCGGCGAGUUACGAUUUGUUGCAAGGUUAAGCGGAAAAAGCGGAGCCGUAGCGAAAGCGAGUCUGAAUAGGGCGCAUAAGUAACAGGUCGUAGACCCGAAACCAGGUGAUCUACCCAUGUCCAGGAUGAAGGUAAGGUAAUACUUACUGGAGGUCCGAACCCACGCACGUUGAAAAGUGCGGGGAUGAGGUGUGGGUAGCGGAGAAAUUCCAAUCGAACUUGGAGAUAGCUGGUUCUCUCCGAAAUAGCUUUAGGGCUAGCCUCGAGGUAAAGAGUCAUGGAGGUAGAGCACUGUUUGGACUAGGGGCCCUUCUCGGGUUACCGAAUUCAGAUAAACUCCGAAUGCCAUGUACUUAUACUCGGGAGUCAGACUGCGAGUGAUAAGAUCCGUAGUCGAAAGGGAAACAGCCCAGACCACCAGUUAAGGUCCCCAAAUAUAUGUUAAGUGGAAAAGGAUGUGGGGUUGCUUAGACAACCAGGAUGUUGGCUUAGAAGCAGCCACCAUUGAAAGAGUGCGUAAUAGCUCACUGGUCGAGUGACCCCGCGCCGAAAAUGUACCGGGGCUAAACAUAUUACCGAAACUGUGGAUGAACCUCUUCGGAGGUUCGUGGUAGGAGAGCGUUCUAAGGGCGGUGAAGUCAGACCGGAAGGACUGGUGGAGCGCUUAGAAGUGAGAAUGCCGGUAUGAGUAGCGAAAGAAGGGUGAGAAUCCCUUCCACCGAAUAUCUAAGGUUUCCUGAGGAAGGCUCGUCCGCUCAGGGUUAGUCGGGACCUAAGCCGAGGCCGAUAGGCGUAGGCGAUGGACAACAGGUAGAGAUUCCUGUACCAGUGCUAAUUGUUUAACCGAUGGGGUGACACAGAAGGAUAGGGAAUCGCACGAAUGGAAAUGUGCGUCCAAGCAGUGAGUGUGAGAAGUAGGCAAAUCCGCUUCUCGCGAAGCAUGAGCUGUGAUGGGGAAGGAAAUAAAGUACGGAAGUUCCUGAUUUCACGCUGUCAAGAAAAGCCUCUAGGAAGAGUAGUACUGCCCGUACCGCAAACCGACACAGGUAGAUGAGGAGAGAAUCCUAAGGUGAGCGAGAGAACUCUCGUUAAGGAACUCGGCAAAAUGACCCCGUAACUUCGGGAGAAGGGGUGCUCUAUUAGGGUGCAAGCCCGAGAGAGCCGCAGUGAAUAGGCCCAGGCGACUGUUUAGCAAAAACACAGGUCUCUGCAAAACCGUAAGGUGACGUAUAGGGGCUGACGCCUGCCCGGUGCUGGAAGGUUAAGAGGAGUGCUUAGCUUCGGCGAAGGUACGAAUUGAAGCCCCAGUAAACGGCGGCCGUAACUAUAACGGUCCUAAGGUAGCGAAAUUCCUUGUCGGGUAAGUUCCGACCCGCACGAAAGGCGCAACGAUCUGGGCACUGUCUCAACGAGAGACUCGGUGAAAUUAUAGUACCUGUGAAGAUGCAGGUUACCCGCGACAGGACGGAAAGACCCCGUGGAGCUUUACUGCAACCUGAUAUGGAAUGUUUGUACCGCUUGUACAGGAUAGGUAGGAGCCGAAGAGACGUGUGCGCUAGCAUACGAGGAGGCAAUGGUGGGAUACUACCCUGGCUGUAUGACCAUUCUAACCCGCCACGCUUAGCGCGUGGGGAGACAGUGUCAGGUGGGCAGUUUGACUGGGGCGGUCGCCUCCUAAAGAGUAACGGAGGCGCCCAAAGGUUCCCUCAGAAUGGAUGGAAAUCAUUCGCAGAGUGUAAAGGCACAAGGGAGCUUGACUGCGAGACUGACAAGUCGAGCAGGGACGAAAGUCGGGCUUAGUGAUCCGGUGGUUCCGCAUGGAAGGGCCAUCGCUCAACGGAUAAAAGCUACCCCGGGGAUAACAGGCUUAUCUCCCCCAAGAGUCCACAUCGACGGGGAGGUUUGGCACCUCGAUGUCGGCUCGUCGCAUCCUGGGGCUGUAGUCGGUCCCAAGGGUUGGGCUGUUCGCCCAUUAAAGCGGCACGCGAGCUGGGUUCAGAACGUCGUGAGACAGUUCGGUCCCUAUCCGUCGCGGGCGCAGGAAAUUUGAGAGGAGCUGUCCUUAGUACGAGAGGACCGGGAUGGACACACCGCUGGUGUACCAGUUGUUCCGCCAGGAGCAUCGCUGGGUAGCUAUGUGUGGCAGGGAUAAACGCUGAAAGCAUCUAAGCGUGAAGCCCCCCUCAAGAUGAGAUUUCCCAUUUCUUCGGAAAGUAAGAUCCCUGAAAGAUGAUCAGGUAGAUAGGUUUGGAGUGGAAGUGUAGCGAUACAUGGAGCGGACAAAUACUAAUCGAUCGAGGACUUAACCAAAA